GACGAACCGUGCGAACGUUGUUCGGAAUCACUGGGCAUAAAGGGCGCGUAGGCGGCUUAUCAAGUCAGGGGUGAAAUCCGGCAGCUCAACUGUCGAAGUGCCUUUGAUACUGAUGAGCUCGAGGGAGGUAGGGGUAUGCAGAACUUCCGGUGGAGCGGUGAAAUGCGUUGAUAUCGGAAGGAACGCCGGUGGCGAAAGCGGCGUACUGGACCUCUUCUGACGCUGAGGCGCGAAAGCUAGGGGAGCAAACGGG
rnacentral:rRNA from 1 species